UAAUACAUAAGUAACCUGCCCUAGACAGGGGGAUAACUAUUGGAAACGAUAGCUAAGACUGCAUAGGUACGGACACUGCAUGGUGACCGUAUUAAAAGUGCCUCAAAGCACUGGUAGAGGAUGGACUUAUGGCGCAUUAGCUGGUUGGCGGGGUAACGGCCCACCAAGGCGACGAUGCGUAGCCGACCUGAGAGGGUGACCGGCCACACUGGGACUGAGACACGGCCCAG
rnacentral:rRNA from 1 species